AAACCAACCGGGAUUGCCUUAGUAACGGCGAGUGAAGCGGCAAAAGCUCAAAUUUGAAAUCUGGUACCUUCGGUGCCCGAGUUGUAAUUUGGAGAGGGCAACUUUGGGGCCGUUCCUUGUCUAUGUUCCUUGGAACAGGACGUCAUAGAGGGUGAGAAUCCCGUGUGGCGAGGAGUGCGGUUCUUUGUAAAGUGCCUUCGAAGAGUCGAGUUGUUUGGGAAUGCAGCUCUAAGUGGGUGGUAAAUUCCAUCUAAAGCUAAAUAUUGGCGAGAGACCGAUAGCGAACAAGUACAGUGAUGGAAAGAUGAAAAGAACUUUGAAAAGAGAGUGAAAAAGUACGUGAAAUUGUUGAAAGGGAAGGGCAUUUGAUCAGACAUGGUGUUUUGUGCCCUCUGCUCCUUGUGGGUAGGGGAAUCUCGCAUUUCACUGGGCCAGCAUCAGUUUGUGGCAGGAUAAAUCCAUAGGAAUGUAGCUUGCCUCGGUAAGUAUUAUAGCCUGUGGGAAUACUGCC
rnacentral:rRNA from 1 species